GACGAACGCUGGCGGCGUGCUUAACACAUGCAAGUCGAACGGAAAGGCCCUGCUUUUGUGGGGUGCUCGAGUGGCGAACGGGUGAGUAACACGUGAGUAACCUGCCCUUGACUUUGGGAUAACUUCAGGAAACUGGGGCUAAUACCGGAUAGGAGCUCCUGCUGCAUGGUGGGGGUUGGAAAGUUUCGGCGGUUGGGGAUGGACUCGCGGCUUAUCAGCUUGUUGGUGGGGUAGUGGCUUACCAAGGCUUUGACGGGUAGCCGGCCUGAGAGGGUGACCGGCCACAUUGGGACUGAGGUACGGACCAGACUCCUACGGGAGGCAGCAGUGGGGAAUAUUACACAAUGGGCGGAAGCCUGAUGCAGCAACGCCGCGUGCGGGAUGACGGCCUUCGGGUUGUAAACCGCUUUCGCCUGUGACGAAGCGUGAGUGACGGUAAUGGGUAAAGAAGCACCGGCUAACUACGUG
rnacentral:rRNA from 1 species